rnacentral:rRNA from 1 species
UGUCUGGGAAACGUGCCUGGAUGGAGGGGGGAUAACUACUGGAAACGGUAAGCUAAUACCGCAUAACGUCGCGAGACCAAAGAGGGGGACCUUCGGGCCUCUUGCCAUCGGAUGUGCCCAGAUGGGAUUAGCUUGUUGGUGGGGUAACGGCUCACCAAGGCGACGAUCCCUAGCUGGUCUGAGAGGAUGACCCAGCCACACUGGAACUGAGACACGGUCCAGACUCCUACGGGAGGCAGCAGUGGGGAAUAUUGCACAAUGGGCGCAAGCCUGAUGCAGCCAUGCCGGCCGUGUAUGAAGAAGGCCUUCGGGUUGUAAAGUACUUUCAGCGGGGAGGAAGGGAGUAAAGUUAAUACCUUUGCUCAUUGACGUUACCCGCAGAAGAAGCACCGGCUAACUCCGUGCCAGCCGCUGC